rnacentral:lncRNA from 1 species
AUCGAAGCAGCAAAGAGCAGUAUUAUGCAGAUUUAAGAUCAAUUCGGGUAUUUGGUGGUAGUACUCGAACCACAGAUGCGAACAAGUCUUUCGCCAUCACAGUUUGGCACGGAGCCACACUCAAGAACUAAGGUUUCCCGACUUGUUUCAGCCCUUUAUGAGCACCAUGAAUGUACACCAACGAACUUUGAUGUACACAGCCAGCCUUUAUCAGAUUCUUCUUUUUAUUGCUUGAAUGGCCCAAUUAGCCGUACAUAUGGUGGCAUCUUUUUUUUUUGUUAUAUCUUACAAUCCCGUCGGUGAUACUAAAAAGCUUUCAAAACAAAAGUUUUGUUUUUCA